rnacentral:lncRNA from 1 species
CGUACCUGCGCGUCGACGCACUCCGCAUCCGCACGUACCAGGCAUUCGUCGGCGCUGCCCGUGUGCCCAAUCUCUUCCAGUCAGGUUCUUCAAUCCCAUCCUUUCCGAUUAGAUAGAUUAAGUUCAGUUCUAUACUUUUGCAGCUGCAGAGUGUUGGGUUUUAUUGACUCGUCGCCGUCCGUCAUCUCUGAAAUAAUUACAGACAACUUUGCUUUGGAGUUCUGAGAUUGGAAAAGGUGCCCAGUAGCAACAGCUCCACAUCAGGAUGCUUGUUAUUGUUGAGGAAAGAUUUUAAUAUUUAGUGCCCUUGACUACCCGAUGUAGCCAUGAUGAUUCAAGUAUUAUGCCUGGAACCCAUUGUUUUUCUGAACUCUGGAAGUGAGCUCAGUUGUUCAUUGUCAGAGAGUAAAUUCCAUCUUCCUUAAAGCACCAUAGUCUGACAUCAUUUUUAUCAGGUUUUGGAUCAAUGGUUUGCACUUUGAGCUUAAGUUCUUGAUCUCUAUCUCUCAAUGUCAUCCGCUGUUACUCAUUUCUAUGCUUUACAAUUAUGGUACAUUGCCUUGACGCUGCUAUGUAGGUUUAAUUAUGAUACAUUGCCUUGUUCAUCUAGAGAGUGCUUAGGUCUCAAUCUGCUGGACCAUCUCAAUUGAUUGGUUGUAUAUGUUACCCGUUGUAAUCCUGGUGCGAUUGUAUCCAUAGUUUGUUAGCUGUUUAGCGAAUAAGUAGGGGCAUGCAGCGUGUGUUCUGUGCACGUCUUGACCCAGUUCUUCCUUCUGUUGGUAGAGUAGAUGGUUGCGCCAGAUUCUAUCGUGGGAUGGCACGGAAGGAGUCGUGGCGCACUAGGCUGGCACGCCGAGACGCUAUGGGAUGGCAUGGCUAAUGCUCGGUCAAGCUCGCCGUUUAUUUCGCUUUCAGUUGUAACAGCUUCAGCUGAGAAUAAAGAGAGAAACUAGAAAAGUCGCAGAAGGUUACGCGGCGCAAAAUUCCCCUGUGUCCACUUCGUGUGAGUGUGAGUUCUUGCACUUGAUAGCUUUGAGAGUUGAGAGCCAGUUCGAGAGAGAGUUUGAGAGUUUGGCAACUACAGUUGGUAUUAGAGCCCUGAUCAGGUUCUGGUGAUCUCCGAUGUCGAACACCCAGAGGGAUCGGUCGGCUUCCCGGUCUGUGACUCUGCCGCGUCACGAACACCGAGUCGUGGCCGGAGCCGCAGGAGGCGACGCGAUGGUCGGGUUGUGAUCCAGCAGGAGGUGGUGCGCGAGGUGGCCGGCAACAGUGGCGCCAUCACCUUCCCCAUGCUGACACGAACCAAUUAUCUCGACUGGGCAAUUCUCAUGCGGGUCCAGAUGCAAGGUGCCGGCCUCUAGGAGGCGGUAGAAGGGGAGACCUCUGCGCGGCAGGAGCGGCAGGCGUUCGCGGCGAUCCUGCGCUCGGUCCCGCCAGUGAUGAUGCGCGUUGUUGCCGCAAGGACAAUGCGCAUGAGGCCUGGGAGUCGGUGAAGUUGAUGCGCACUGGUGUCGAGCGCGUUCGCGAAGCCAAAGCCCAGAAGCUGCGAAAGGAGUAUGAGAAUCUUGCGUUCAAGGGCGGUGAGUCGAUUGAGGACUUCACGUUGCGGCUCUCAGCGCUGGUCACUGACCUGCAGCAGGCAGGCGACGACAUCACGGAGGAGAAGGCGGUGAAGAAACUCCUACACGCGCUGCCACCGAGAAUCAAACCGGUGGCCGUCGCGAUGGAGUCUUGUCUCGAUCUCGCGAGGAUGUCGAUCGAGGAGCUCUCAGGUCGGCUCUCUGCUGCUGAGGAUGGGCUCGAUUCUGAGCCGGAAGUGGGCGGCAAGCUGAUGCUCACGGAGGAGUAACGGAUGGCGCGCCAAGGUCAGCGCCUCGGCGGCGGCAGCUCCUCAGGCGGAGGCGACAAGGCGCGCGGCAACACAAAGCCAAAGCCGAAAGGCAAGGUGGCCGGCGGCGCGAUUGACUCCGACGACAAGAACAAGGCGGCGCCGAAGAAGGGCAAGUGCCACAAUUGCGGCAUCUAUGGGCACUGGGCCAAGGAGUGCCGCAAGCCGCGACCGCCAGCGGCGCGAGGAGGCGGCGAAUCUGGCGCAGGCGAACCAAGACGAGCCAGCUUUGCUACUGGCCGUGUCGGGCGACAACAUGGUUCAGCUGGAAGGGUCUGGGCUCAGGGCGCCAGAUCCGCCGGUGCCAGGGACUGCCCUUGCCGAACGCGGCGAGGUGGAGACGCGCUCCGCUGAUGUGGAGACUGAGCGUGUGUUCCUGAACGAAGAGCGUGUCGUGCCAGUGCCGUGCGAUGACGACCGCUGGUUCCUGGACACCGGGGUGAGCAACCACAUGACGGGCAACCGUGGUAUGUUCGUGCGACUUGACGAAACUGUCAAAGGUACGGUUAAAUUUGGCGAUGGUUCUUUGGUUGAUAUACAUGGCCGUGGAUCUGUGUUGAUUGAGUGCAAGAAUGCUGAACAUCGAGUGCUCACUGAGGUGUAUUACAUACCGAGGCUGAGAAGCAAUAUCAUCAGUCUUGGGCAGUUAGAUGAGAUUGGGGUCAAAACGGUGAUAGAAGAUGGAAUGUUGUGUCUGUAUGAUUUGCAGAGACGCUUGCUGGCCCGUGUCAGACGAAUGAAGAACCGGCUGUACUCAGUCACUCUGAGUCUGGCGGCACCGGUCUGUUUGUUGGCAAAGGGUGACGACAGCGUGGUGCUGGCAUGCACACUAUGGGCAUUUGCAUUUUCGAGCACUGCAUGACCUGGGCGCGAAGGAGAUGGUGCGAGGAUUGCCUGUGAUUCAGAGGAUGGAGCAGUUCUGUGUGGGAUGCUCGUUGGGAAAACAGGCACGCACGCCCUUUCCGCAAGCCACAGCGUACCGUGCAGAGGAGAAGCUGGAGUUGUGGCAUGGUGAUCUGUGUGGUCCGAUCACUCCGGCAUCUGCAGGUGGCAACAAGUAUUUCUUGCUCAUUGUUGAUGAUUGCAGUAGAUACAUGUGGCUCGAAGUUCUGAAGUCGAAAGAUGAAGCAUUCAAGUACUUCAAGAAGGUGAAAGUGUUGGCUGAGAAUGAAUCAAAUCUCAGUUUGAAGGCAUUUCGCACAGAUCGUGGUGGAGAAUUCAUUUCCACUGAGUUCUCUGAGUUUUGCGAGGAGAAGGGCAUACGGCGGUUCACCACAGCGCCUUACUCACCAGAGCAGAAUGGCGUGGUAGAGAGAAGAAACCGUACUGUUGUUGAGAUGGCUCGUAGCCUGCUGAAGAGCAUGAAUGUGCCGAAUUCCUUUUGGGCAGAAGCUGUGAAGACAGCAGUUCAUAUUCUGAACCGAUCUCCCACCAGAAGUCUGAAGGGUGUCACACCAUAUGAAGCUUGGUACAAGAGGACUCCCAAUGUGUCAUACUUGCGAACAUUCGGGUGUGUGGCUCAUGUGAAGAAUGUGGUGCCGGGGGUGAAGAAGUUGGAAGAUCGGUCAGUGCCCAUGGUGUUCAUCGGGUAAGAAGAAGGUUCCAAGGCUUAUCGUGUGUAUAACCCAAAGACACGACGAGUUUGUGUGACCAGGGAUGUUGUGUUUGAGGAGAACAAGUGUUGGGACUGGAAGAAUGCCGGGAUGUCAAGUGAAUCAAUGGAAGAGCUCAGGGUCGAGUACUACAUCGUGCCUGCCGCAGCGUCUGCCACGGCAGCACGGUCUCCUGCCUCCACACCUUCUGCCGCGUCGCCUGCCGCCGCAGAAAGGACGGCAGCUUCAACACCAACGGCUGCAGCCACUUCUGCCGCGGCAGGAAAUUCUCCACCAACAAAUCCUGCCGCAUCGUCUGCCGCGGCAGAGCAGAACCUGGCGGCUCCCCAGCCGCACCCGAUGGAGACGCGUGCUCAACGAGGAAUAUUCAUGCCAAAUCCAAGGUACACUGAUGAUGAUUAUGAUUAUAGUGGCCUGUGUUUUCUUGCUGCCGAGGAGCCGGCUAGUGUUGAGUCGGCGCUGCAGGAGAAAGAGUGGUGGAACGCCAUGGAGGAAGAAAUGGACUCGAUUCGGUCUAAUGACACUUGGGAGUUGUCACCUCUUCCUGAAGGCCAUCGAGCUAUAGGCUUGAAGUGGGUUUUCAAAGUGAAACGAGAUCCAGCUGGUAAGGUUGUGAAGCACAAGGCAAGGCUCGUGGCGAAGGGAUAUGCGCAGAAACAAGGAGUUGACUUUGAUGAGGUGUUUGCUCCAGUGGCAAGGAUGGAAACUGUGCGUAUGAUGCUUGCGCUUGCUGCUCACUCAGGCUGGGAGGUUCACCAUAUGGAUGUGAAGUCUGCAUUCUUAAAUGGUGAUCUGCUUGAAGAGGUGUAUGUGCACCAGCCAGUGGGUUUCGUGGAUGAGAAGAACAGCAAUAAGGUGCUCAAGCUGAGGAAGGCGUUGUAUGGGCUGCGUCAAGCGCCGAGGGCGUGGAACGCGAAGCUAGAUCAGACCCUGACCAAACUUGGGUUUGAGAGGUGCCCGCUGGAGCAUGCGCUGUACAGAAAGGGAGAUGCUGAGAACUUUCUGUUAGUCGGUGUCUAUGUGGAUGAUCUGAUCAUCACGGGUAGACUCAGCGAGGACAUUCAGCUGUUCAAGGAUCAGAUGGGGAGGAUGUUCCUAAUGAGCGAUUUGGGUCUUCUGAGUUAUUAUCUGGGGAUGGAAGUGCAGCAGAAGGAUGAACAGAUCACUGUCCGUCAGUCAAGUUAUGCUCAGAAGAUUCUGGAGAUGGCGGGCAUGGAAGGCUGCAAUCCAUGUCACACGCCUAUGGAAAACCGGCUGAAAUUGAGUAAGUCUCAAGCCGGUGAUCCUGUGGACGCAACGAGGUACAUGAGCAUCAUUGGAAGCUUGAGGUAUCUUGUCAAUUCGCGUCCAGAUAUUGCUAACGCUGUAGGGAUUGUGAGUCGGUUCAUGGAAGCACCUGGAUCACAUCAUUGGGCAGCGGUGAAGCAAAUUCUGAGGUAUGUCCGUGGGACAUCGGGGUAUGGCUGCUGCUAUAAGAGAAGCACCAUGACUCCGGAGCUUGUCGGAUACAGUGACGAUCGCAAAAGCACCACUGGUGUGGUCUUCUUCCUUGGCGAUAGCGUCGUGACCUGGGCCUCGCAGAAGCAGAAGAUAGUGGCACUUUCUUCGUGCGAGGCAGAAUAUAUAGCAGCAGCGGCAGCGGCGUGUCAGGGGGUGUGGUUAGCUCGCCUGCUCGCGGAGAUGAAGGGCAUUGAUGCUGCAAAGUUCAGGCUGCUAGUUGACAAUAAGUCAGCGAUUGUGUUGUCAUCGAUACCAGGUUCCAUUAUAUUCGUCAAUGUAUGGAAGAAGGGAAGGUGGAGGUCGAUCAUGUUGGUACUCUCGAUCAGAAGCCUGAUAUUCUCACCAAAUCACUCGGGCGUGUUCGGUUCGUCGAGAUGAGGACUCUGCUUGGCGUGGUUUCGGUGAAAGAUAAGCACCAGGAUUAGGGGGUGAUAUGUUAGCCGUUGUAAUCCUGGUGCGAUUGUAUCCAUAGUUUGUUAGCUGUUUAGCGAAUAAGUAGGGGCAUGCAGCGUGUGUUCUGUGCACGUCUUGACCCAGUUCCUUCCGUUGGUAGAGUAGAUGGUUGCGCCCGAUUCUAUGGUGGGAUGGCACGAAAGGAGUCGUGGCGCACUAGGCUGGCACGCAGAGACGCUAUGGGAUGGCAUGGCUAAUGCUCGGUCAAGCUCGCCGUUUAUUUCGCUUUCAGUUGUAACAGCUUCGGCGAGAAUAAAGAGAGAAACCAGAAAAGUCGCUACGCGGCGCAAAAUUCCCCUGUGUCCACUUCGUGUGAGUGUGAGUUCUUGCAGUUGAUAGCUUAGAGUUGAGAGCCAGUUCGAGAGAGAUUUUGAGAGUUUGGCAACUACAGUAUAAACAUGUAGGUUUAAUUUUUCUGUCCAACAGGUAAUCACAUCUCUAGAUGGAGCUUGAGCUGCCAACCCCCAACAGGUAAUCACAUCUUUCCGUCCUCUAAAUCUGAGCUUUUUUACCUCCAAAUAUGAGAAAAUAAAUUGGUGUUUGGAAAAAAUACGCAUGUGGGAAUCUUGUUUGCAUGCCGACUUGUUACCAUUAAUAGGAAAGCUGCUACUGGGUGAGUUGUUGAUCCAUAUCUUGAAGUAUUGUUUAAUGGUAGCUGCUACUGUCAUAGCAUAGUAGUAAUUAGCAACUCUAUGCUGCUUGUAGUCACCUAACUUAAUUUAUGCAUCUACUCGAUGCAGUUAACUUAGUAUCUGCUUAUGUUUUGUGUUUGCAUAUAUCUAUGUGAGUUCCUGAAGCUAUCCAUUAAUGGCUCAUUGAUAAUUAUAUUGCAUUAAUCUCAAUGAUUAACAAUAUUCGCAGUCAAAUGUAAUCUAAUUCCUGUUUGUUCUUUCUUAUUGAUAUUAUCAGAUGUAGGAUCAUGAAAGUUUCUGGGAAGAUGAUCCUCACUUAAGACUUGGGGAAACGGGGGACAUUGUUCACCCUUGUGGUAUGCUCCUUACACCCAUGUGCUGCUGUAUAGUAGUUGUUGUCCUGCUGUAUUGCUACAGAUGGUGAGGGUUAUCAUUUCAAAUGGUAAAUCUUUCAAAAUACAAAUGAACAAGUCUCUUUGAGCUAUUACUUUAGAAAUACUUGUCAUGUACCAUGUAAGAUAUUGAAUUGUACCUUUUUACAUUUGUUUAUGCCUAUGUGUUAUUCUUGCAUGCAUGAAUUAUGUGUUGGAAUUUCCGAAUGAUGUACUGCUUUUUAGGGAAGUCUAAAAUCUAAAUCUUCUAAAGAGAGUUUCUAAGCCCUGUAUUUUGUUCUGAAUUACUAAUGGUUGCAGGAUGCUGGAUGCAAGAACGAGAGCCAUGACAAUGCAAAGGGAAGGAAGAAGAGAGGAAAUGAAUACCAACUAAGAAUUUCAUAGAUUAGGAAAAUUGGCAUCAUAUUGGACAUGAGGUUAUGUACUGUACUGCCUUGAUGACAUGAAAAAUAUGAGCCUUGUGUACCUGUGCUGAAUUUUGGUUAAUGUGAAUAUAUGGUCUGAAUUUUUUGUGUGGGCUCAAUAUAUGUAAUUGUGCUGAGUUUUGGACCUAAAGAGGCUUUGGCACAAACAAUAUUUGGCUGACCCUAAUUAGAAAAUGGGAACAUAAUUUAUUCGUGCGAGGUGUCCUGUCGGUUUUAUUACUUUUUCCUGUCGGGGUAACAGGAGGACGGAAAAUUGGUAAAUGGGCUGCUACUUUAUUUCCUUGGG